rnacentral:rRNA from 1 species
GUCCACGCUGUAAACGAUGGGCACUAGGUGUGGGAGGUGUCGACUCCUCCCGUGCCGUAGCUAACGCAUUAAGUGCCCCGCCUGGGGAGUACGGCCGCAAGGCUAAAACUCAAAGGAAUUGACGGGGACCCGCACAAGCAGCGGAGCAUGUGGUUCAAUUCGACGCAACGCGAAGAACCUUACCUGGGCUUGACAUGUUGGUUACAGCCUUGGAAACAAGGUCUCCCUUCGGGGCACCUUCACAGGUGGUGCAUGGCUGUCGU